UAACUGAAGAGUUUGAUCAUGGCUCAGAUUGAACGCUGGCGGCAGGCUUAACACAUGCAAGUCGAGCGGGGGAAGGUAGCUUGCUACCGGACCUAGCGGCGGACG
rnacentral:rRNA from 1 species